rnacentral:rRNA from 1 species
GAACAAAAACCGUAUGGGGGUAGAGCACUGAAUGAGCUAGGGGCCAAACAAAGGUUACCAAACUUUAUCAAACUACGAAUACCAUGCGGGAGGUUCAGGAGUCAGACUACGGGAGCUAAGUUCCGUGGUCAAAAGGGAAAGAGCCCAGACCGUCAAUUAAGGUCCCAAAGAUAUAACUAAGUGGAAAACGAUGUGAUUUUGCGCAGACAACCAGGAUGUUGGCUUAGAAGCAGCCAUUCAUUUAAAGAGUGCGUAAUAGCUCACUGGUCGAGUGAAGUUGCGCGGAAAAUUACCGGGGCUAAGUUAUACACCGAAAUUGCGGAUUCAUUAAGAAAUUAAUGAGUGGUAGAGGAGCGUUCUAUACAGGAUGAAGUAUGAUCGAGAGGACAUAUGGACAGUAUAGAAGAGAGAAUGCCGGAAUGAGUAGCGAGAGCAAAGUGAGAAUCUUUGCCGUCGAAAAUCUAAGGUUUCCUGGGGAAGGUUCGUCCGCCCAGGGUAAGUCGGGACCUAAGGUGAGGCCGAAGGGCGUAGCCGAUGGACAGCAGGUUAAGAUUCCUGCACCAGUAUACAUGUAUAAUGCAUAAGAGGACACAUUUGAAGAAGGUGAGCGAGGAAGAGGAAAAACUCGUAUGGCAACAUAUAGUGAAAUAAAGUAACGAAUCAUCAAGAGGCAAGUGGCGAGAAAAGUCUUAUGUAGUUGUGUAGACUGCCCGUACCGCAAACCGACACAGGUAGAUGAGGAGAGGAUCCUAAGACGAGCGGGAGAAGCAUUGUUAAGGAACUCGGCAAAUUGACCCCGUAACUUAGGGAUAAGGGGUGCUGGUGUAAAAACCAGUCGCAGUAAAUAGGCCCAAGCAACUGUUUAACAAAAACACAGGUUUCUGCUAAAUCGCAAGAUGAAGUAUAGGAGCUGACUCCUGCCCAGUGCUGGAAGGUUAAGGGGAAAGGUUAGGAAUAAUUCAUUAUAUCUGAAGCUUUGAACUCAAGCCCCAGUGAACGGCGGCCGUAACUAUAACGGUCCUAAGGUAGCGAAAUUCCUUGUCAGGUAAGUUCUGACCCGCACGAAAGGAGUAAUGAUUUGGGCACUGUCUCAACAAUGUACCCGGCGAAAUUGUAGUACUAGUGAAGAUGCUAGUUACCUGCGACAAGACGGAAAGACCCCAUGGAGCUUUACUAUAGCCUGAUAUUGGGCUUUGGUAUCUUAUGUACAGGAUAGGUGGGAGACUAUGAGAUUAAGACGCAAGUCUUAAAGGAGUCAACCUUGGAAUACCACCCUUAAGAUAUUAGAGUUCUAACUUGUGAUCAUAAACUGGUCAGAGGACAUUGUCAGGUGGGUAGUUUGACUGGGGCGGUCACCUCCUAAAGAGUAACGGAGGUGCGCAAAGGUUUCCUCGGCACGGUCAGAAAUCGUGCUAAUGAGUGUAAAGGCAUAAGGAAGCUUAACUGAGAGAGAGACAUCUCGACCAGAUACGAAAGUAGGUCUUAUCGCAUCCUGGAGCGGAAGUACGUUCCAAGGGUUGGGCUGUUCGCCCAUUAAAGCGGUACGCGAGCUGGGUUCAGAACGUCGUGAGACAGUUCGGUCCCUAUCUGUCGCAGGCGCAGGAUAUUUGAAAGGAGCUGUCCUUAGUACGAGAGGACCAGGAUGGACAUACCAAUGGUGCAACAGUUGUCACACCAGUGGCACAGCUGUGUAGCUAAGUAUGGAAGGGAUAAACGCUGAAAGCAUCUAAGCGUGAAGCCCCCCUUAAGAUAAGAUAUCCCACAACGUCAAGUUGGUAAGAUUCCAGUUAGACUAACUGGUUGAUAGGUUAGAGGUGUAAGUGUGGUGACACAUUUAGCUGACUAAUACUAAUAAUCGAGGGCUUAACCA